ACACGUUGGCCACGAGUGUGUGGCGCAGUUCGAUCUCAAGCAAGCAACGGGGCUUGAGA
ncrna:Synechococcus sp. RS9916 Glutamine-II riboswitch (downstream peptide RNA)